GAGCGGUAGAAGUCCUUCGGGACUUUGAGAGCGGCGUACGGGUGCGUAACACGUGUGCAACUUACCUUUAUCUGGGGAAUAGCCUUUCGAAAGGAAGAUUAACACCCCAUAAUAUAAUGAUUGGCAUCAAUUAUUAUUGAAAACUCCGGUGGAUAGAGAUGGGCACGCGCAAGAUUGGAUAGUUGGUGAGGUAACGGCUCACCAAGUCUGUGAUCUUUAGGGGUCCUGAGAGGGAGAUCCCCCACACUGGUACUGAGACACGGACCAGACUCCUACGGGAGGCAGCAGUGAGGAAUAUUGGACAAUGGGUGAAAGCCUGAUCCAGCCAUCCCGCGUGAAGGAUGACGGUCCUAUGGAUUGUAAACUUCUUUUGUACAGGAAUAAACCUACUCUCGUGAGAGUAGCUGAAGGUACUGUACGAAUAAGCACCGGCUAACUCCGUGCCAGCAGCCGCGGUAAUACGGAGGGUGCAAGCGUUAUCCGGAUUUAUUGGGUUUAAAGGGUCCGUAGGCGGGCCUGUAAGUCAGUGGUGAAAUCUCAUAGCUUAACUAUGAAACUGCCAUUGAUACUGCAGGUCUUGAGUAAAUUUGAAGUGGCUGGAAUAAGUAGUGUAGCGGUGAAAUGCAUAGAUAUUACUUAGAACACCAAUUGCGAAGGCAGGUCACUAAGAUUUAACUGACGCUGAUGGACGAAAGCGUGGGUAGCGAACAGGAUUAGAUACCCUGGUAGUCCACGCCGUAAACGAUGCUAACUCGUUUUUGGAUCUUCGGAUUCAGAGACCAAGCGAAAGUGAUAAGUUAGCCACCUGGGGAGUACGUUUCGCAAGAAUG
rnacentral:rRNA from 1 species